CCUACGGGUGGCAGCAGUGGGGAAUAUUGCACAAUGGGGGAAACCCUGAUGCAGCGACGCCGCGUGAGUGAAGAAGUAUUUCGGUACGUAAAGCUCUAUCAGCAGGGAAGAAAGUGACGGUACCUUAGGAAUAAGCCUCGGCUAACUACGUGCCAGCAGCCGCGGUAAUACGUAGGAGGCGAGCGUUACCCGGAAUGACUGGGCGUAAAGGGUGCGUAGGUGGUUUGACAAGUUGGUAGCGUAACUCCGAGGCUCAACCUCGGCACUACUACCAAAACUGUCGGACUUGAGUGCAGGAGGGGCAAUUGGAAUUCCUAGUGUAGCGGUGGAAUGCGCAGAUAUUAGGAGGAACACCGGUGGCGAAGGCGAAUUGCUGGACUGUAACUGACACUGAGGCACGAAAGCGUGGGGAGCAAACAGGAUUAGAUACCCCAGUAGUC
rnacentral:rRNA from 1 species